UGGGACGUAUCCUAUUACUAU
rnacentral:miRNA from 2 species